rnacentral:lncRNA from 1 species
GUUGCGACAUCGAGCGCCGAAAACGGCGACGUUCGCACGGAGUUGCGCGGUCGGGCUGCAGGCAUCGGGGACUCGAACCCUCAUAACUUUGCGAGGACGUGACGGUUUUAAACGAACCCGGGUGCGAUUGAAUCGUCUAAACGAGACCUUUCCAUCGGGACGUCAAUGACAGAAAAUGGUGGCAUAUCGAGUGACCUGUGCGUACCGUGAUGUCUGCCGAUGGCCCCGAGGGACCCCCCCGAAAUGUACACACCCCAAG